rnacentral:lncRNA from 1 species
UCACACACAGUUCCUCAAGGGACUGUUGUAGCACCGAUGGCUGGUUUAGUUGUUAAAGUUCUUGUGAGUGAUGGUUCAAGGGUUGAGCACGGCCAACCUGUUCUAGUCAUGGAGGCCAUGAAGAUGGAGGCAUGAACAUGCUCUCUUUCUCUCUCACACACACGCACACACACACACACGCACAUGUUCUCUCAUGCUAAGCUUACUUUUUAGUUCUGAGCAAGGCCAACCUGUUCUAGUCAUGGAGGCCAUGAAGAUGGAGGCAUGAACAUGCUCUUUCUCUCUCACACACACGCACACACACACGCACAUGUUCUCUCAUGCUAAGCUUAUUUUUUAGUUCUCUUCAUGUUUUGGUAUGCCACUGGUUUUGAUAGGAUAGAUUUUUUUUUUUUGCUCCCCAG